rnacentral:rRNA from 1 species
AUACGGAGGGUGCGAGCGUUAUUCGGAAUUACUGGGCGUAAAGCGCGUGCAGGCGGUCUGACAAGUCUGAUGUGAAAGCCCCGGGCUUAACCUGGGAAGUGCAUUGGAAACUGUUGGACUUGAGUACUGGAGAGGAAGGGGGAAUUCCCGGUGUAGAGGUGAAAUUCGUAGAGAUCGGGAGGAAUACCAGUGGCGAAGGCGCCCUUCUGGACGGCUACUGACGCUGAGACGCGAAAGCGUGGGGAGCAAACAGGAUUAGAUACCCUGGUAGUCCACGCUGUAAACGAUGAGCACUAGGUGUAGCGGGUACUCAUUCCUGCUGUGCCGUAGCUAACGCGUUAAGUGCUCCGCCUGGGGAUUACGGUCGCAAGACUAAA